rnacentral:lncRNA from 1 species
AUGUGUGUCAUACUUGACCAACAGCUGGGCCACUCAGAGGCAGGCACACAUCAGGACUCAGAGGCAGGCACACAUCAGGACUCAGAGGCAGGCACACAUCAGGACUCAGAGGCAGGCACACAUCAGGACUCAGAGGCAGGCACACAUCAGGACACAGAGGCAGGCACACAUCAGGACUCAGAGGCAGGCACACAUCAGGACACAGAGGCAGGCACACAUCAGGACACAGAGGCAGGCACACAUCAGGACUCAGAGGCAGGCACACAUCAGGACACAGAGGCAGGCACACAUCAGGACACAGAGGCAGGCACACAUCAGGACUCAGAGGCAGGCACACAUCAGGACUCAGAGGCAGGCACACAUCAGGACUCAGAGGCAUGCACACAUCAGGACUCAGAGGCAGGCACACAUCAGGACACAGAGGCAGGCACACAUCAGGACACAGAGGCAGGCACACAUCAGGAUUCAGAGGCAGGCACACAUCAGGACACAGAGGCAGGCACACAUCAGGACACAGAGGCAGGCACACAUCAGGACUCAGAGGCAGGCACACAUCAGGACUCAGAGGCAGGCACACAUCAGGACACAGAGGCAGGCACACAUCAGGACACAGAGGCAGGCACACAUCAGGACACAGAGGCAGGCACACAUCAGGACACAGAGGCAGGCACACAUCAGGACUCAGAGGCAGGCACACAUCAGGACUCAGAGGCAGGCACACAUCAGGACACAGAGGCAGGCACACAUCAGGACUCAGAGGCAUGCACACAUCAGGACUCAGAGGCAUGCACACAUCAGGACACAGAGGCAGGCACACAUCAGGACACAGAGGCAGGCACACAUCAGGACUCAGAGGCAGGCACACAUCAGGACUCAGAGGCAUGCACACAUCAGGACUCAGAGGCAGGCACACAUCAGGACACAGAGGCAGGCACACAUCAGGACACAGAGGCAGGCACACAUCAGGACUCAGAGGCAUGCACACAUCAGGACACAGAGGCAGGCACACAUCAGGACACAGAGGCAGGCACACAUCAGGACUCAGAGGCAGGCACACAUCAGGACUCAGAGGCAUGCACACAUCAGGACUCAGAGGCAGGCACACAUCAGGACACAGAGGCAGUGUCUGCGCUCUACACACUCCUUAUCUAUUCAACUUUCUAG